GCUGGGUGUGAUGGCUCACGCCUGUAACCCCAGAACUCUGGGAGGCUGAGGUGGGGGGAUCACCUGAGGUCAGGAGUUUGAGACCAGCCUGACCAAUAUGGCGAAACCCCAUCUCUA
rnacentral:SRP_RNA from 2 species